GUGGCUCAGAGGUUAAGUAGUUGACUUGUAAUCUGCAGGUUAUGGGUUCGAAUCCCGUC
rnacentral:tRNA from 1 species